rnacentral:rRNA from 1 species
GACGCGGAGAUUGGCCGGUCGCAUGGGUGGAUUAGUGGCGAACGGGUGAGUAACACGUGAGUAACCUGCCCUUAACUCUGGGAUAAGCCUGGGAAACUGGGUCUAAUACCGGAUAGGAGCGUCCACCGCAUGGUGGGUGUUGGAAAGAUUUAUCGGUUUUGGAUGGACUCGCGGCCUAUCAGCUUGUUGGUGAGGUAAUGGCUCACCAAGGCGACGACGGGUAGCCGGCCUGAGAGGGUGACCGGCCACACUGGGACUGAGACACGGCCCAGACUCCUACGGGAGGCAGCAGUGGGGAAUAUUGCACAAUGGGCGCAAGCCUGAUGCAGCGACGCCGCGUGAGGGAUGACGGCCUUCGGGUUGUAAACCUCUUUCAGUAGGGAAGAAGCGAAAGUGACGGUACCUGCAGAAGAAGCACCGGCUAACUACGUGCCAGCAGCCGCGGUAAUACGUAGGGUGCGAGCGUUAUCCGGAAUUAUUGGGCGUAAAGAGCUCGUAGGCGGUUUGUCGCGUCUGUCGUGAAAGUCCGGGGCUUAACCCCGGAUCUGCGGUGGGUACGGGCAGACUAGAGUGCAGUAGGGGAGACUGGAAUUCCUUGGUGUAGCGGUGGAAUGCGCAGAUAUCAGGAGGAAACACCGAUGGCGAAGGCACGUCUCUGGGGCUGUAACUGACGCUGUAGGACCGAAAGCAUGGGGGAACGAAACAGGAAUUAAAAUA